rnacentral:rRNA from 1 species
UGAAUACGAGACGCUAAGGCGUCGAAGUAGUGUAUGUCAUACUUCCAAGAAAAGCUUGCACUGUCAUAGAUAAAAAACGCCUGUACCAUAACCGACACAGGUGGGUAGGUAGAGUAUACUAAGGGGCGCGAGAUAACUCUCUCUAAGGAACUCGGCAAAAUAACUCCGUAACUUCGGGAGAAGGAGUGCCUUAUUCGUAAGGUUGCAAUAACAAGAUCCAAGCAACUGUUUAUCAAAAACACAGGUCUCCGCUAAGUCGUAAGACGAUGUAUGGGGGCUGACGCCUGCCCAGUGCCAGAAGGUUAAAGAAGUUGGUUAGCAAUUGCGAAGCUGAUAACUGAAGCCCUGGUGAACGGCGGCCGUAACGAUAACGGUCCUAAGGUAGCGAAAUUCCUUGUCGGGUAAGUUCCGACCCGCACGAAAGGCGUAAUGAUUUGGAUACUGUCUCGGAGAGGGGCUCGGUGAAAUAGACUUGUCUGUGAAGAUGCGGACUACCUGCACCAGGACAGAAAGACCCUAUGAAGCUUUACUGUAACUUGAAAUUGAAAUUGGACUUUAUUCGCGCAGUAUAGGUGGGAGGCGUUGAUUAUAAUCUUGUGGGAUUAUUGGAGCCAUCAGUGAGAUACCACUCUUGUAAUGUUAGAUUUCUAACUUUGAAUCAUUAUCUGGUCAAAGAACAGUUUCAGGCGGGCAGUUUGACUGGGGCGGUCGCCUCCUAAACGGUAACGGAGGCGUACAAAGGUUUCCUCUGAACGGUUAGAAAUCGUAUCUAGAGUGUAAAGGCAUAAGGAAGCUUGACUGUGAGACCUACAAGUCAAGCAGGGACGAAAGUCGGUCUUAGUGAUCUGACGGUACUGAGUGGAAAGGCCGUCACUCAACGGAUAAAAGUUACUCUAGGAUAACAGGCUGAUCUCCCCCAAGAGUUCACAUCGACGGGGAGGUUUGGCACCUCGAUGUCGGCUCAUCGCAUCCUGGGGCGGUAGUACGUCCCAAGGGUUGGGCUGUUCGCCCAUGAAAGCGGUACGCGAGCUGGGUUCAGAGCGUCGUGAGACAGUUCGGUCCAUAUCCGGUGUAGGCGUUAGAAUAUUGAGAGGAGCCUUCUUUAGUACGAGAGGACCGAGAAGGACACACCUCUGGUGUACCAGUUAUCGUGCCAACGGUAAACGCUGGGUAGCUAUGUAUGGAGUGGAUAACCGCUGAAAGCAUCUAAGUGGGAAGCCCACCUCAAGAUAAG